ensembl:lncRNA
AUUUCUUCAUGUAUUUCUGUGUAGAGUUUUGUCUCCUCCUCCCUCGUCUCUUCUUGAAGUGUGAAACGACUGUUUAAACACAGGAAGUGUCUGUUUUAGUGCACACAGCACUGUUAAUACAGACUAUUAAUGUGUCAGUAUGGGGUCCAGCGCACUGCUUCUCAAACUCUUGCUGAUUUCCCUCAUCUACUCUGAACUCAGUCGAGGUGAAACAACCGUUUCUGGAAACAUUCAAGAAAUAACUCAUGGAAAAUUUGCCAUGCUUAAGUGGAGGAUUGUAGAAAUACAGAGAAGCACCCAGCUGCAGCCUGCAGAUCGAGGCGGGGCUGCACCUGGGGCGGGGCUCCACGUGUAGCCCCGCCCCAUACCUACUCUGAUUGGUUCGAUCAUCUUUCUUAGACAUACAUGAUAGGAAAUCCAAUAGUUAAUGUAGGACGGAGUAUGUUGUUUAAAAAGCUAAAAAACGCUGUACAGUUUUACAAAGCCUUCAUUAUAAUGCACAGAAGAAAUAAAACAUUAGCCUGUAACCCUCCA